rnacentral:rRNA from 1 species
GAAUUUUAUAAAUAUGUGUAUUAAGGAGAAAGAAGAAAAUAUAUAAUAUAGAUAUUUAUUUAAUUGGGAGGAUUAUUAAAUUUAAUAAACUUUAAUAAAAAAUUACAAAUAUAUUUGAUUUAAGGAAUAAAUAAAGUAGUUAAUUUUUAAAAGAAAAAUUACCUUAGGGAUAACAGCGUAAAAAUAUUGGAUAGAUCGUAUAAAAAAUAUUGUUUGC